GGCUUUUUAUGGAAAACGUCUUACCGAUUUUAUUUCGGUAAGACAUUUUCCAUUUUCCUCCACUCUAUCACAACAGUCGUUCUCCUUCCUCUUUGUCGAUCAGCCUCCGCCUCUCCUCCUCGUCUCUAUUCGUUGGCCUCACCUCCGAAUUUGAGUCUUAUUAUCUCGUCGUCCUUACCAAGUCUGCAUUUUGAAGAAACUCCAAAAUCUAGCUUUCCAAUCCUAUCAAGGGUAAGCUGACCAAGAUUUUAAUUGGGGGUUUUGGUUGUUUUUCAAGCUUGGUUCUUGAAUUAGCUUUUUUUGGUAAUCUCUUGAAUUAGCUUUUGUGUGUAAGGGAAAGCGUAUUUGGUAUAUUUGGUUUUUGUUUUGUUAAAAGACUAGGAUUUUUUGGAAUUGGAAUUUGUUUCUUGAAUUGUUAAGAGAUUGGGAUUCAAGACCGAUUGCCAUUUUGGGUUUUUAUUUAGUAUAUAUAUAUCGGAAAAUAUUUUUCAUUUUUUCAUUUGUUUAAUAGUCUGUUUCCAAUUAUUUUUUCAUUUUCCGUUUGUUUUAAACUCUAAAUGUUAACCUUUUGUUUUACCGGAGAAGAACAAUAAGAAUAUUUUGUUGUAAUGCAGCAUGUUUGACACUAUAAAAUGCUAGUUCGUCUAUCAUUUUCUAUUGUCUGAAGUCUGAACUUUUGGGGUAAAUGUGAAGAUUCUAACUGUGUAAAGUUUCAUGUCUCUUGAAGCGCCAUUGGCUCGCAUGCAUCUUGUGAUGUAUGCACUGUUGUAAGGCUUGAGUUAGCAUCUUCCAUCCUUUGCAGGCAAUAGAAGUUUGUUUAUACUAUACUGCAGUGAGAAGAAACCUGUAUAUUUUUGCCUUUGUACUUCGAUUCAGACAUGCACACUCCGACUUGUUUGAUACUCUCUAAUUAUGCUACCGUGUUAUAGACCAAUAAAGCUGUAAAUUUGCUUUUAGUAAUGUAAUGUAUCUAUGCAUGCAUGACAUGAUGCAAACCUUGUAGGGCCA